rnacentral:rRNA from 1 species
GAUGAACGCUGGCGGCGUGCCUAAUACAUGCAAGUCGAGCGAAUGGAUUAAGAGCUUGCUCUUAUGAAGUUAGCGGCGGACGGGUGAGUAACACGUGGGUAACCUGCCCAUAAGACUGGGAUAACUCCGGGAAACCGGGGCUAAUACCGGAUAACAUUUUGAACCGCAUGGUUCGAAAUUGAAAGGCGGCUUCGGCUGUCAAUUAUGGAUGGACCCGCGUCGCAUUAGCUAGUUGGUGAGGUAACGGCUCACCAAGGCAACGAUGCGUAGCCGACCUGAGAGGGUGAUCGGCCACACUGGGACUAAGACACGGCCCAGACUCCUACGGGAGGCAGCAGUAGGGAAUCUUCCGCAAUGGACGAAAGUCUGACGGAGCAACGCCGCGUGAGUGAUGAAGGCUUUCGGGUCGUAAAACUCUGUUGCUAGGGAAGAACAAGUGCUAGUUGAAUAAGCUGGCACCUUGACGGUACCUAACCAGAAAGCCACGGCUAACUACGUGCCAGCAGCCGCGGUAA